ensembl:rRNA 5S_rRNA 5S ribosomal RNA
GCUCACAGCCAUACCAGCUGAAGAACGCCCAAUCUUGUCUGAUCUCGGAAGCUAAGAAGGCUUGGACCUGGUUAGUACCUGGAUGGGAGACUGCCUGGUAAUUCCAGGUGCUUUGAGCU